GAAACUAAUGAUGCAAUGUCUCUGAUGUUUGACUACAUCCAUGGAGGAGUCUUACAGCACCAACCUCCCUAUAGCCAUUUACCGGGCUCUGUUCCUGUAAGCACUCUUUUUUAAGCAUUAUCUAUCAUUGAUUUUUUAAUUUUCCCCCCUUUCUUUAUAGGCUGUGAUCAGCGAAGAAGAAAGUACCACCACCAAUGAAGUCCCUGAAGCAAGUACGCAAACAUUCCCUCCAAAUAAUAAUGGAGGAGAGGUAGCUGCCGAGGUUAUCAACAUCUUGGAAGUCCAACGGAUUGCCUAACUCUUGAAAAUGAUACGACUUGUGUGCCUAACUUACUUAUUUUUGGGUUUGUUCUCUCCGGCAAAAUUCUCUUUGCCGCUGCCACCAUGGUUGUCAAGUAUCUUUUUUUUUUUUUUUUUUGUUAAGUGAAAAUUUCUGUUACUGUUGAUUUCAUUUCGUUGCCUGUGUGAUGCAUAAAUGGAGAAGAAACAAAAAUUUUGUUCCCCUCUUUUUUCACGCACUUAGUGAGUAACCAAACAAUAGAAAUUGUGUGUUUGUGCAUUUUCUUGUCAUUGACCUGUGUAUGCCAUUUUCUAAGUUUUUGGAUGAGUGAUAGCUGCAAAUAGCUUUUGGUUGGCGUUUCUUAUUGUUGGCGAAGGAAUUUUUCUGGUCUACAAUUUAGGAUAAUUUCAGCAAUCACGGUUUUGUUACAAUAUAUUAUGCAAUGUUAAGGAAAUGGCGAAUCUCUGUUUUGUGGCUGCAGGGUAUAUACAUAUUUUUUUCAUGUUUAGGUUUGGAGAAUGUUUGAUGCUAAUAUGUGUUCCCAGUAAAGCUAUUGUUAAUAUGUUAAGAUGACAACAGAAAUUUUAAUGUUAUAAUUGGGAAUUAAAUUUCAUGUAGCCAAUAGAUAACAGGAUUUCAACCGAAAAAUUCCUUAGUCCUAUGUAGAAAAAUAUACUCUGAUGAUCAUCGUUUCCUUAGUAAUUCUGUUUUUAGCGUAUUGUAUGUGACACUUGGAAAUCUUUUAUACUUGGGCUAUGGUUUUUCUUCUUGGUUUGAUUUAAGAUGGUGCAAAAACAUUAAUGUCUUUAAGUUUAAUUAUAGAAAGUUUGUAGAAUUUGUUACUGUUAGUCUAUGAAAUGGCAUCAGAGAAUAUAGGUAAUUAUUGGGUGCCAUUUUUGGAGGUGUUUUUGGAUUUUAUGAACCAUGAUCUAUCAUAAUCAUGAAAAUGUGGUCAUCGGUGGCCUUAGAUUCGUGAUAAUGAUAGCUGCCGAACGUGCAUGUUCUGUUUUGGGAUAUCCCUAUUGAUGAUAGAUUGUCUUCUUGUGGCUUUUUAUUUGUUUCUUUCUGGGAUUAUAACUUCUAAUCUUUUGAGACAAAGUUGAAUAGCAUGUCUUCUAUGAAAUGAAUGCAUUUAAGAUGUGAAUCUUGGAGUAAUUGCUAGUAUUAGGAAUUUCAGAUUUGUUCACGGGGCAAAGAUAUACCCUGGUAAGGAUCUCAGAUUUGUUUGCAUGGAUUCCCAGGUAAUUCCCAGUGUUGCUAUUGAAUGCAUUGUGUUUUAUUUGGCAUACAUGCAUUGUUUUCAGCUGGUGAAACUUAAUAAUCUCUGUGACUGUGAUCAAUUAAUGUCCUCCUCUUUGCCAAGUCAAAAUGCAAGAGGUACUUCCACAACCAACUGAAGCCCUCAAACUAACUUGUUGACUUCCAAGAGUUUGCAUAUUUGGAACAAUAAUUUAUUGUUGUAAUUAUCGCUAUUAUUGACUUUUUGUCAAUCAUUGUGUGGAACAAUAAUUUAUUGUUCUAAUUUUCUUUUCAAAAUAAGAUUUCUAGUUUGAGGUAGCCGGGACUGUGUCUUGGUCAUGUAUGUUGUUAUGUUAGGCAAAUUGGUUCUCAAGCAAUGUGCAAACACUGACUUGCAGAUUAUAUGCAGAAUUCAUAAACACAUUUGUGCACAUUCACAGUCCUUUGCAUUGGAGCUUUGCUUUUUUACUUCUUUAAUGAUUUUUUUAGCUAAUGUUUGAACAGGGCAAUUGCUUGGCUUGGAAACAUGAAAAGUAAUAGCCCAAUAACAUCAUCUUUUUUGUGAAAUUCAUGAAAACUGAAACUAUUGGAGGAUUCUCCCAUCAUAGUUGGUUUUGCUUAGCAUAACUAUAUGCUCAUAGGCAUUUUGGCUAUAAACAAGGAAUCCCAUUCUUACAUUUUUCCCCUUCUCAAUAUGUAAGCUUUACAUCAUCCCUAGAAGAGAGAUAUAUCCUAGGUUUAUAAUCUGUUUCAGUUAUCCAAAUAUUUUGUCUUUGUUUUAGUGAUUGAGAAUGCCUAAUAGGUAGAGGGCAUAUACUGGUAUACAUGCAUCUACUAGAUGUAAGUUGAUAAGACCACAAAUGUUUUAUCACGUGGAUGGUUCAAAGAGACCACUUGAAUUGGUGGCUUCACAUUUUCUAGUGAUAAUAAUUUCUCAAGUGGGCAUUGGAUAUUUUUGAUACAGUUUGAGGCUGGGGAAUACUUUUUUACUGCAAUAAAAUAGGGUUGCUAUAUAAUUUAUUCUUCCUCAAAAUAAAUCCCAAAGGAAACAAAAAGAAAGAUAAAAUAAAAUAGAGAUAUUACUUAAUAGGACGAUGAAACUAAUGAUGCAUGACAUCUUUUUAUUUCAUAAAUCCAGAUCGAUCUAUGGUAUACCUUGUCUUGUUAAUUAUUUAUUUGUUGAUAUUCAAUGUGGGUAUUAAUGCAUGUGUGGAAUGGGAAUGUAUGAACAUUUUUACUGUGAAUUUGACCAGCAUUGUGAGGGGCUUUUGCAUAAUCUUUUGUCGUAAAUUUUGAUGCGGCACAAUUUCACAUAAGUUAUUGGUGAUGCAUAAUUUGCUGCAUUAAUCUGCAUGUUACUAAUUCUUGCUCCUAUUUAACAUCUCAUCUUGUGCAGAAGCAUUUGAGCAACAACCACCAAACAAUUGGGAAGGGGUAUUCAGUGUGUCAUCAUACACAGUAUACACAAUAAUAUAUUUCUGAUCAGGUAACAAAGUUUGGAUUUUGGCUUUUGUAAGAAAUGGGAGCUUAAAUGUGACCGAGGUUAGUGGUAAUGCAAUGUUUAAGUAAUGGCAUUUUGUGGGUUAAAGAGAUAAAUUAUAGCUUUUUUAAAUUGAUAA